UAGAGUUUGAUCCUGGCUCAGAAUCAACGCUGGCGGCGUGCCUAACACAUGCAAGUCGCACGAGAAAGGGGCUUCGGCUCUGAGUAAAGUGGCGCACGGGUGAGUAACACGUGAAUUAUCUACCUCCGAGUGGGGAAUAACUGAGAGAAAUCUUAGCUAAUACCGCAUAACACUUACGAGUCAAAGCAGCAAUGCGCUUGGAGAGGAGUUCGCGGCCGAUUAGUUAGUUGGCGGGGUAAUGGCCCACCAAGACGAUGAUCGGUAUCCGGCCUGAGAGGGCGCACGGACACACUGGAACUGAAACACGGUCCAGACUCCUACGGGAGGCAGCAGUGGGGAAUUUUGCGCAAUGGGGGAAACCCUGACGCAGCAACGCCGCGUGGAGGAUGAAAUCCCUUGGGAUGUAAACUCCUUUCGAUAGGGAAGAUUAUGACGGUACCUAUAGAAGAAGCCCCGGCUAACUUCGUGCCAGCAGCCGCGGUAAUACGAGGGGGGCAAGCGUUGUUCGGAAUUAUUGGGCGUAAAGGGCGCGUAGGCGGUUUGACAAGUCUGAUGUGAAAUCUCUGGGCUCAACCCAGAGUCUGCAUUAGAAACUGUCGGGCUUGAGUAUGGGAGAGGUGAGUGGAAUUUCCGGUGUAGCGGUGAAAUGCGUAGAUAUCGGAAGGAACACCUGUGGCGAAAGCGGCUCACUGGACCAUAACUGACGCUGAGGCGCGAAAGCUAGGGGAGCAAACAGGAUUAGAUACCCUGGUAGUCCUAGCCCUAAACGAUGAUUGCUUGA
rnacentral:rRNA from 1 species